rnacentral:rRNA from 1 species
AGUGAACGCUGGCGGUAGGCCUAACACAUGCAAGUCGAACGGCAGCACAGUAAGAGCUUGCUCUUACGGGUGGCGAGUGGCGGACGGGUGAGGAAUACAUCGGAAUCUACUUUUUCGUGGGGGAUAACGUAGGGAAACUUACGCUAAUACCGCAUACGACCUACGGGUGAAUGCAGGGGAUCUUCGGACCUUGCGCGAUUGAAUGAGCCGAUGUCGGAUUAGCUAGUUGGCGAGGUAAAGGCCCACCAAGGCGACGAUCCGUAGCUGGUCUGAGAGGAUGAUCAGCCACACUGGAACUGAGACACGGUCCAGACUCCUACGGGAGGCAGCAGUGGGGAAUAUUGGACAAUGGGCGCAAGCCUGAUCCAGCCAUACCGCGUGGGUGAAGAAGGCCUUCGGGUUGUAAAGCCCUGUUGUUGGGAAAGAAAAGCAGCAGGUUAAUACCCCGCUGUUCUGACGGUACCCAAAGAAUAAGCACCGGCUAACUUCGUG